UUUAUGGAGAGUUUGAUCCUGGCUCAGGAUGAACGCUGGCGGCGUGCCUAAUACAUGCAAGUCGAGCGAACGGACGAGAAGCUUGCUUCUCUGAUGUUAGCGGCGGACGGGUGAGUAACACGUGGAUAACCUACCUAUAAGACUGGGAUAACUUCGGGAAACCGGAGCUAAUACCGGAUAAUAUUUUGAACCGCAUGGUUCAAAAGUGAAAGACGGUCUUGCUGUCACUUAUAGAUGGAUCCGCGCUGCAUUAGCUAGUUGGUAAGGUAACGGCUUACCAAGGCAACGAUGCAUAGCCGACCUGAGAGGGUGAUCGGCCACACUGGAACUGAGACACGGUCCAGACUCCUACGGGAGGCAGCAGUAGGGAAUCUUCCGCAAUGGGCGAAAGCCUGACGGAGCAACGCCGCGUGAGUGAUGAAGGUCUUCGGAUCGUAAAACUCUGUUAUUAGGGAAGAACAUAUGUGUAAGUAACUGUGCACAUCUUGACGGUACCUAAUCAGAAAGCCACGGCUAACUACGUGCCAGCAGCCGCGGUAAUACGUAGGUGGCAAGCGUUAUCCGGAAUUAUUGGGCGUAAAGCGCGCGUAGGCGGUUUUUUAAGUCUGAUGUGAAAGCCCACGGCUCAACCGUGGAGGGUCAUUGGAAACUGGAAAACUUGAGUGCAGAAGAGGAAAGUGGAAUUCCAUGUGUAGCGGUGAAAUGCGCAGAGAUAUGGAGGAACACCAGUGGCGAAGGCGACUUUCUGGUCUGUAACUGACGCUGAUGUGCGAAAGCGUGGGGAUCAAACAGGAUUAGAUACCCUGGUAGUCCACGCCGUAAACGAUGAGUGCUAAGUGUUAGGGGGUUUCCGCCCCUUAGUGCUGCAGCUAACGCAUUAAGCACUCCGCCUGGGGAGUACGACCGCAAAGUUGAAACUCAAAGGAAUUGACGGGGACCCGCACAAGCGGUGGAGCAUGUGGUUUAAUUCGAAGCAACGCGAAGAACCUUACCAAAUCUUGACAUCCUUUGACAACUCUAGAGAUAGAGCCUUCCCCUUCGGGGGACAAAGUGACAGGUGGUGCAUGGUUGUCGUCAGCUCGUGUCGUGAGAUGUUGGGUUAAGUCCCGCAACGAGCGCAACCCUUAAGCUUAGUUGCCAUCAUUAAGUUGGGCACUCUAAGUUGACUGCCGGUGACAAACCGGAGGAAGGUGGGGAUGACGUCAAAUCAUCAUGCCCCUUAUGAUUUGGGCUACACACGUGCUACAAUGGACAAUACAAAGGGCAGCGAAACCGCGAGGUCAAGCAAAUCCCAUAAAGUUGUUCUCAGUUCGGAUUGUAGUCUGCAACUCGACUACAUGAAGCUGGAAUCGCUAGUAAUCGUAGAUCAGCAUGCUACGGUGAAUACGUUCCCGGGUCUUGUACACACCGCCCGUCACACCACGAGAGUUUGUAACACCCGAAGCCGGUGGAGUAACCUUUUAGGAGCUAGCCGUCGAAGGUGGGACAAAUGAUUGGGGUGAAGUCGUAACAAGGUAGCCGUAUCGGAAGGUGCGGCUGGAUCACCUCCUUU
rnacentral:rRNA from 1 species